UGAGUAACCUGCCCUUAACUCUGGGAUAAGCCUGGGAAACUGGGUCUAAUACCGGAUAUGACUCCUCAUCGCAUGGUGGGGGUGGAAAGCUUUUUGUGGUUUUGGAUGGACUCGCGGCCUAUCAGCUUGUUGGUGAGGUAAUGGCUCACCAAGGCGACGACGGGUAGCCGGCCUGG
rnacentral:rRNA from 1 species